GCAUAUCAAUAAGCGGAGGAAAAGAAACCAACAGGGAUUGCCUUAGUAACGGCGAGUGAAGCGGCAAGAGCUCAAAUUUGAAAUCUAGCACUUUCAGUGUUCGAGUUGUAAUUUGAAGAAGGUAUCUUUGGAGUUGGCCCCUGUCUAUGUUCCUUGGAACAGGACGUCACAGAGGGUGAGAAUCCCGUGCGAUGGGGAGACCAAUUCCUUGUAAAGUUCCUUCGAAGAGUCGAGUUGUUUGGGAAUGCAGCUCUAAGUGGGUGGUAAAUUCCAUCUAAAGCUAAAUAUUGGCGAGAGACCGAUAGCGAACAAGUACAGUGAUGGAAAGAUGAAAAGAACUUUGAAAAGAGAGUGAAAAAGUACGUGAAAUUGUUGAAAGGGAAGGGCUUUUGAUCAGACUUGGUGUUUAACGAUCUCUUCUCCUUGUGGGAGGGGCUCUUGUUUUAUACUGGGCCAGCAUCGGUUUGGAUGGCAGGAUAAUGACAUUGGAACGUGGCUUCAUUCGUGAAGUGUUAUAGCCUUUGUUGAUACUGCCUAUCUAGACCGAGGACUGCGUCUUUGACUAGGAUGCUGGCGUAAUGAUUAAAAGCCGCCCGUCUUGAAACACGGACC
rnacentral:rRNA from 1 species